GACGAACGCUGGCGGCGUGCUUAACACAUGCAAGUCGAACGGAAAGGCCCUGCUUUUGUGGGGUGCUCGAGUGGCGAACGGGUGAGUAACACGUGAGUAACCUGCCCUUGACUUUGGGAUAACUUCAGGAAACUGGGGCUAAUACCGGAUAGGAGCUCCUGCUGCAUGGUGGGGGUUGGAAAGUUUCGGCGGUUGGGGAUGGACUCGCGGCUUAUCAGCUUGGUGGUUGGGUAGUGGCUUACCAAGGCUUUGACGGGUAGCCGGGCUGGGAGGGUGACCGGCCCAGAUUGGACUGAGAUACGGCCCAGACUCCUACGGGAGGCAGCAGUGGGGAAUAUUACACAAUGGGCGGAAGCCUGAUGCAGCAACGCCGCGUGCGGGAUGACGGCCUUCGGGUUGUAAACCGCUUUCGCCUGUGACGAAGCGUGAGUGACGGUAAUGGGUAAAGAAGCACCGGCUAACUACGUG
rnacentral:rRNA from 1 species